GGAAAUUGGUUGAGUUUCAGAGCACGUCCUCCUCGGCAGAGGGGGCUGGACUAGACCUUGGACAGCCCCCCCAAAAACUUGCCAAGCCUCGCACACACCACUUCACUCUCCACUCCGAGGCUCAGGGAGCAAGUGCCUGGCAUGGGGGGUAAAAGUUGGCUUUUUUUUUACUCCUUGGUCUUUUGCGCCCUUCUCCCUCUCCCCAGAAGGGAAGACCCAUUUAAACUAUUUUAGACGCAAUCAACCAAGAAUCACCAUGUGGAAUUGAGCGGCAGUUUUAAAUGUGUUGAGCAGGGGAGAGGAAUGAUGAGAAAAACAUUUUUUUUUUUUUUUUUGGAGACGCCGAAAGAAGCCUGUUUGUGUGCUGCGGCCGUGCUGUGACUUUGGAUCUUGUCUUUCAGCCGGCGCCUCGGUUCCUGCCCAGCUGGAUUUGGGGGGCAGCAUUGCCUGGCGCAGGGAGAUCAAAUGAGACUGCAAAGAAGCAUAAAAUGAAUAGACAAUCCAACCAACCAAAGGAAAUUGCUUUGGAGAUGAGGAAACAAACUCUUAUGGAGACCUAAGAGACUGAAGACAUCUGGCGUGGACUACUCUGAUGGUAAAAUUGAAAGUACACCUAAAUUUGCUUUGUUACAGGAUUCUCUUCAGAGGACAAGAGAAGAUGUUACAUUCUCUGCAUGAGGACAAUUCUGCAGCAUCAAAAUCGAAUAAUAUUUGUUUUCUGGCAGCAGAAUUUUGUAUCAUAUUUCUAAAGACAGUAAGCACUUGGGUGGACGUCAAUGAAUACUAAACACUAAUUGAUCUGAUACAGCCGUAUGCACAUACACAGAUAUACAUGGUGGCUUGUAAUGGUUGAAAAAUUACGGUUUGGUUUUAUUAAAAGAUCUGUCACUUUUAGGUCAGAGUGGGAUUUUGGAGGGAUAGUCUCCCACAAUAGAAAACUACCCUGACAACAGUGGUGUUUUGAGGUUGUUUGUUGUUUGGCUUCUUGAUGAUGCUUAGCUAAGGAGACACUUCCUUUCAGAUUCUGUCUUCCAAACCCCAGGGCUCUGUUCUGGGCAGUUCAGCCUAAUGGAAUUAAGCCUGACAUGUUUCAACUCUAUUUCUUGAUAAAAUAAACAUAAAACAAUGGUUUAGAUUUCGAAUAAAACUCUUGAAGCAUGGGGUACUCUAACUUUCCCUGUUCUUUACACAUCUGUAAAUAAAGUGCAUAAAAGAGGAACACAACAGGAUAAAUCAACAUAAAUUUGAAAUCCACUGCAGCAUAUUAAAUGGCGCAGUCUCAGUCAAAGAGAGGCUGACCCCGCGGCUUCGUGCAGUUUGAAGCUAAUUGUUUUCGUCAGGAUGGGAACGUCUGGAAGUCCAUGGCUGUAUCCCACCAGUAAGGCUCCAGUAACUGAGCCGGCCCACAGAGAAUGGGCCCACUUUGUAGCGACACAGCGGGCUCAGACACCACCUAUUCUGCUCUCCAAACUGUCAUGCAUAACAACUUUAUUGUGCUAAAUUGAACUUGAAAGCAACCAAAGGCUAUGAGAAGGAGAGGCUAUGAGAAAAGCGUGCUGUCAGCGCCGGCAAAGGCUGACCUGGAAAGUAGGCUCAGAGACAGGGGAAUAAAAGACCAGGCCCCAUGAACACAGCAUAUUGUUUCAUUUUAAAGUAUGAUUCCCAUACCAGAGAAAGUAGCAAAUGUGAUGUAAAUUUAUUUAAAUAGAUUCGACCGCUUAAAAGUUUGCCAGCCGCUCUUAUCCAACUUUCCCAGCUCUCUGAUUCGUUACUUACAGUGGGAAUAUAAUGACAUAUAGUCAUCAUUGUAACAGCUUCUUUGCAGGGGCACAAUGAUGAUUAAUAGCCAGCAGCAAAUUUUCACAUGGGCUCUGAAGCACUAUGGCAUUAAGCAGCCAAACAGUCCCAAAUCCCCCUUUUCUGUUCCGCUGAAAAGUCCCCUCCUUGUACCUUCCAGAUAGGAACAAAGCCUAUCUUAAUUCCAAUCAGCUUUUCGUCAUUCAAAGGGACCUUCUCUUUUUCAUAAUUGAUUCAUGUGCAUUUUUUAGUGUUCCACUGAGCUGAAGCCACUUUUCUCCUUUCCUCUGUUCUGUCCCCACACCCACACCCCCUUUUUUUGAGGGGGUGAGGAGUGGGAAACAUUUCAACAACAACAACAACAGUAAAAAAUGGUGUGGUAGUUUCCCCCGCAAAUAUUUGCUAAAUAGAUUUCUCAAUUAGUAUUAGCUUUACACUUAAAAGUCUUAAAACAAAAAUUAACUCCUGGACUUCUUUUUUGUUGGAAGUGGUUUUGGUUAUAAAAAUAUGAGCUUACUGAAAUAGCUCUGGUGGCAGCCCCACAAUCAUGUUCUGUUUCACUGGGAGAGUUUGAGUAGCUUUCCUUCCCACCAGAGACUCACAGCUGGAGUGAGGAUGGAGUCUCUUGCUUCAGACAGAUUCUUUUUCCUCCUCUGUGCUGGUAGCCAUCAAAAAAAGAACAAGUGACCAAAAUGAAAGGCGGCAAAUGCACACCUCCUAACCCACUCUGUCCUUCUUAAGUAUCAUUUUUCCCCAUAGUAAUCGUACAUUAUAAUUAUUAGCAGAAGCUCCUGUGCUAUUUGUGGAAGUGCUCUCUCUCGUCUAUAGUUUUCACCUCCUGUGAUAACGACACAAACGACAUCAACCAGUGCUGUCUUGGAAAAAGAUUUCCAUCCGCAAAUUCAUUUGUGUUUCUAUGACAAUAUGAUGGCCAUAGAGCACAGUUUUAGUAGAUAUACUUUGCAUAUUUGUUUACAUUCCUUACAAAUCUGACCUCAUUUUUCUAUAUGAGUAGGGUGACCACACACCCCUGUUUUCUCAGGACUAGCUGUAUUUAUGCCUAUUGUCCUUACAUAAUUAUUAACAGUACUUCCUUUCACCCUCAAAAGUAUCCUGAUUUGAACAAUUUGAAAAACUCAUGACGUUUUGCCAUUAAAAUGGCCCCAAAUGACUUACACAAACCCAAAGGGUGGGCUGUCUCCUACCCAGGUGGCUGGGGACUGCUUUAUACCAUCCCAGUUUAGGGGAAAGAAUCAAACUUGGAAACCCUGCUGCCGAUGUAGCAGCACCGACUUUUGUCUCGCCCACUUUGAAGAGGUCAGUUGACCCUAUACAGCUUCUUUGAUAUGUGACAGAAAGGAGGUCAUUUGCUGAAAUGAAAGACACAUUACAAACCAGAUUUUAAGUGUGACUCUUUCCUUCAGCUGGGUCACAGUUCUUACUUUGAGCCAGAGCAACACACUUUACUGGUCAGAUAAAAAUACUCUGCCAUAUUUUAGAAUAAUGACCUUUCUUAUGCUUUGGUGUCUCCAAAUGGUUAAAUGGAGAAUAUAUCCAAUUGACAGGAGGAAUUCUGUUCAUCAUUUUUACUCUUGUGUUUAUAUCUUCUCAUAAAAAAAAAACAUGUGAAAAUGGCAUCAUGUAUCUCUAUUGUAUUUUUCAUUCAAAAAUCUCAAACAGGUGAGUGUAAUCCAGUCUUUAGGUUAUAGGACCAAAGACUCUCAAAGACUGUUACAAACCCCCGGACAGUGUCCCUAAGGGCUGGACUUUGCAUGUGGAUUACCGAGUUAACUGAGAGAUGUGUAAUAUCAUCUGUAGUCAGAAAACUCCCUACUCCCUAUAUGGAGCAACCAAGGACAUUCACAUGUGUUGCUUACUCUUGAAAGUAUAUGGGAUAAAUGGGCUCCUGAUAUGCUAGUUUCAGAAUAACUAUGGCAGGACCUUAAAAUUUCCCACUUUCCAUAAGAUCAUAGCUCAUAUUCAAUUACUGGCAGGAUAAACAUGUAAGAUUAUUAACUCUGCCUUACUAGUUCUUUUAGAGGAGCAUAGCCCCUUGAUGAAGGCAUUGUUCUAAGCCAAAUCUGGACCUAUCCAAUCUUUAUUCAUGCAUUUUAUCCGCUUUCUUAGAUCAUUCUUUCAGAAAUGAAAUGAGUGAGGUACAUGAAAUAUAUUUUCUGAUGCACUCUUUUUAAAAUAAAAUACUUUUUAUGGUUGUGCAUUUAUUUGUGAAGUGAAUGUUUAGAAAACUUUAAAACCAAUUCUACCAUUCUGUCCUUCUUUCAUGGUGAUAACCAACUGUUCUGUUUAAUAGGAUGAUGGAAUUGGUUACCACUAAAGUCCAGCCCUUAGAAAUUACUCUGUAUUUUUAGGCCCUAGACGUUUAUAAGUCUAUGAGAAUCUAACAAGGAGAAUUGGUUUCUCCUAACAAUUCUAUUAUCUUGUAGGUGGCUGUGUCCAUUCUUAAAACUUUUGGCUCAUCUUACCAGAUUUUUUACAAAGAUGCAGAUGUUCCUUAAAAGUGGCUGAAAGAUUAGGAGUUCCUUAAAAGUGGCUGAAAGAUUAGGGACUUUGUGCCUGAUGUGCUGGAAUAUGCCCGAGUUCUGUUAAAUCUGAUUUAACCAUAUUAAAUC
rnacentral:lncRNA from 1 species